rnacentral:rRNA from 1 species
GACGAACGCUGGCGGCGUGCCUAACACAUGCAAGUCGAACGGGGCAAUUUCUUCGGAGAUUGCUUAGUGGCGAACGGGUGAGUAACGCGUGAGAAACCUGCCUUUCAGUGGGGGACAACAGUUGGAAACGACUGCUAAUACCGCAUAAUGUCAUUUAGGGGCAUCCCUGGAUGACCAAAGCUUUAUGUGCUGAAAGAUGGUCUCGCGUCUGAUUAGCUAGUUGGUGAGGUAACGGCUCACCAAGGCGACGAUCAGUAGCCGGUCUGAGAGGAUGAACGGCCACAUUGGGACUGAGAUACGGCCCAGACUCCUACGGGAGGCAGCAGUGGGGAAUAUUGGGCAAUGGGGGAAACCCUGACCCAGCAACGCCGCGUGAAGGAAGAAGGCCUU